UACGGGGGGGGUAAGCGUUGUUCGGAAUUACUGGGCGUAAAGGGCUCGUAGGCGGCCCACUAAGUCAUACGUGAAAUCCCUCAGCUUAACUGGGGAACUGCGUGUGAUACUGGAUGGCUUGGAUGUGGGAGAGGGAUGCGGAAUUCCAGGUGUAGCGGUGAAAUGCGUAGAUAUCUGGAGGAACACCGGUGGCGAAGGCGGCAUCCUGGACCAUUAUUGACGCUGAGGAGCGAAAGCCAGGGGAGCAAACGGG
rnacentral:rRNA from 1 species